AGACAACCGCGGGGAAAAACAAGUCAAUUGGCAAAUUAAAGUUCAAAAUCACGAAUAAAAGAUACCAAUUGAGGAAUGCGUGAUUUUUUACCGAUUGUUUAAUUUUCCAGCUUCUGGUUCGUUUGUUCAUCGGAAAUAAAACAAAACAGGAUGCGACAAAAACAAUACAUGAGCGAAUGCAGAGUGACCUCAUUUUGCAGUCCUCUAAAAGCAGCUGGAAAUGGUCCAACUGUUUUUCGGUAGAAUCGAGUAUCAGCGGAGAACCUUAACAGCCUUUUUAAAAUAAGAAUCCCAGUGGAGAUGGUAUCAAUUCAACUUCAUGAAGAAAACCACCGGCAUAGAAGAAAAGCUUAUCGCAGGAUUAUAAUUAUUUUGCUAAGGACCAGUUGAAGAAAGCCUAAUACUAUUCGGUUUCAUUCGGAAUGUCUCCAAAGGUAAACUGGUCCUUCCCUAAUUGAGACACACCCGGAAGAUAUCCCCCAAUCAAAAUAAUCGACCAGGUAUAACCAUUUGGAAUAUGAAAAUUACCGGUCCACAUCAAAGCAAAUACACCGCAAGAAUAAUGUUGUUAUAAUUGUUUGACUUCUGUGAAUCCCGAUAGCAUCCAUUUUUAUUAUAUGCCAUGAAAUGUGA